rnacentral:sRNA from 2 species
GCAUCUGAAGCCUGACGAGGAUGAGAACCUCCGGGGGCAAGAGGUUCGACUCGAGCGCAGCGAGAGAACGUUGCGUCAGCAACGGCCCGCAGGGCGAGCCACGCAGUGGCGAGUCAUCCUCUAUCACCGACCA